rnacentral:rRNA from 1 species
UGGGGGAUAGUGAGAGGGAUAAAUUUUCUUAAGGAACUCGGCCAAAUCCUAAUGCCCAUCAGGGUAUAUAUCAGAACAUGGGCCUCGACUGUUUACCAAAAACAUAGCUCUCAGCCAAUAUGAAAGUAGAAGUAUGGAGGGUGAGGCCUGCCCAAUGGUUGUAUCUAAAAACGGUUGAUAAAAGUCGACUUCAUAAGGACAAUUGAAUGGCCGCGGUAACACUGACCGUGAUAAUGUAGCGUAAUCAAUAGCCAAUUAAUUGUUGGCCAGUAUGAAUGGCGUCACGAAGGCCCCACUGUCUUAAGAGAAUUCCCAGUGAAAUUGAAUUCGUAGUGAAGAUGCUACGUCCAAUUUGUCAGACGAAAAGACCCCAUUGAGCUUUACUGGAGACUUACAUUGCUCGGAUCAACUCUCGCCCCCCCCUUGGCGGGGGGUCGAAUUUAAAUGGAUAGCUUAGAUUAUGUGGUGUUAUAACCGUCGAUCAAGUAGUCCCUACGGGAUUGCCCCCGAAGGUUGACCUGUUUGGGUGAAUGAAACCCCACUCUUUUUUGUUAAAUGAGCUAACCCCUUAAAGGGGGACAAUGUAAGUUGGACAGUUUGGUUGGGGCGACCGCCUUUUAAAGAGUAACGAAGGUGUGCUUAAGGUACACAAUCAAUAACACAAGCCUGACUGCGAGGGGGACCCUCCGAGCAGACACCUAAAGUCUUCUCCCUUCCCCCCGAAGGUUAAAGACGAAUGGUGGGUUAUAGUGACCCGUUAAUUUAGAGUGGAAUAGUUAACGAUCAACGAAUAAAAG